rnacentral:rRNA from 1 species
AACGAACGUUAGCGGCGCGCUUAACACAUGCAAGUCGUGCGAGAAAGGGAGCAAUCCCCGGUAAAGCGGCGCACGGGUGAGUAACACGUAGGUAACGUGCCCCCAGGUGGUGGAUAACCUUCCGAAAGGAGGGCUAAUACAGCAUAAGACCACGGCUUCGAAAGGAGCUGAGGUCAAAGUCGGCCUCUAUUCAUAAGCUGACGCCAGGGGAUCGGCCUGCGGCCCAUCAGGUAGUUGGUAGGGUAAUGGCCUACCAAGCCUAAGACGGGUAGCUGGUCUGAGAGGAUGAUCAGCCACACUGGAACUGAGACACGGUCCAGACUCCUACGGGAGGCAGCAGUGGGGAAUCUUGCGCAAUGGGCGAAAGCCUGACGCAGCGACGCCGCGUGAGUGAUGAAGGCCUCGG